rnacentral:lncRNA from 1 species
GGGAGGCACCCAAGGAAUCCUCUAGGGGAGUGGGGGUGGGCUGCAUCUUGCCCUUCCAAGAGCUUGCGGUGGCUGGGGCUGCGCUGGGGGUGCCGAAAGGUGGCCGUGUGGCCCAUCUCCAUGAACUGGUGGACUUGAGCAGAAUGCUGACCCUGAGCUACAUAACCGCCUGGUCCUCAGAAGUGCCUGGAGUGGCUGUGGAAGAAAAAAAGGCAGAAGCCACAGCUGGCCCCUGGGAACCGAAGAUGGUAGAAUGCCAGGCAUGCAUCAGAGGACCAGCUGAGACCUUUGCAAUCCUGAAAGACUUAAGUGAAGAUGACUACUUGGUUCACAUUGGCUAAAAGAGCCCUUUAAGUCUUCUGUCUUCAGGUCUAGCUUUUGCCUGCUUCGAGGACUCUUCCUGUUCUGCUACUGGCAGGUUGGACCAGAGGCUCAGCAGCUCUCUGAAGCUCCAGUAACAGGCGCCACCUCCAGCAGCUGAGAAAGCACAGGACGUCUUCCUGACACCACAGUGAACCACAUGGAAAAGCCAUUCGGCGGCUCCCAGCCCUCACCCUGCCCCCUGGCACACACGUGUGGCAGGCCAUGGCUCCAGAAACAGGCCUUCCCAGAGCAAAAAUGUAUGUGACAUAUGCAAAACAUCUUGCUCUCAACUGAAGGCUAUAAAGUAAAUGCAUUUGAAAUGG